AGUUAAGUGACUAAGCGUACAAGGUGGAUGCCUUGGCAAUCAGAGGCGAAGAAGGACGUGCUAAUCUGCGAAAAGCUCGGAUGAGUCGAUAAGAGGCGUAUAAUCCGAGAUAUCCGAAUGGGGAAACCCAGUAGAUGAAGAAUCUACUAUCUUAUUAUGAAUCCAUAGUAAUAAGAGGCAAACCGGGAGAACUGAAACAUCUAAGUACCCCGAGGAAAAGAAAUCAACCGAGAUUCCGUAAGUAGCGGCGAGCGAAAGCGGAGGAGCCGUCAGUGAUAGCAGUGUAUUAAGAAGAAUCAACUGGGAAGUUGAACGAAACAGGGUGAUAGUCCCGUAUUCGAAUAGUGCAUUGUGGUACUAGGCUGACAACAAGUAGGGCGGGACACGUGAUAUCCUGUCUGAAUAUGGGGGGACCAUCCUCCAAGGCUAAAUACUCCUGAUUGACCGAUAGUGAACCAGUACUGUGAAGGAAAGGCGAAAAGAACCCCGGCGAGGGGAGUGAAAUAGAACCUGAAACCUUGUACGUACAAGCAGUGGGAGCCCCAUCACUCAAUCGUAUUGAGUGGUAGCAAUUCCAAAGGAAAUAACCGCACUUUAAUGGUUAAUUUUUGCGAAGCAAAAAUUCAACCAUCCCCAAUAAGCAGUGGGAUUGAGUGAUGGGGUGACUGCGUACCUUUUGUAUAAUGGGUCAGCGACUUAUAUUUUGUAGCGAGGUUAACCGCAUAGGGGAGCCGAAGGGAAACCGAGUCUUAACUGGGCGAUAUAGUUGCAAGGUAUAGACCCGAAACCCGGUGAUCUAGCCAUGGGCAGGUUGAAGGUUGGGUAACACUAACUGGAGGACCGAACCGACUAAUGUUGAAAAAUUAGCGGAUGACUUGUGGCUGGGGGUGAAAGGCCAAUCAAACCGGGAGAUAGCUGGUUCUCCCCGAAAUCUAUUUAGGUAGAGCCUUGAGCGGACACCUUCGGGGGUAGAGCACUGUUUCGGCUAGGGGGCCAUCCCGGCUUACCAACCCGAUGCAAACUGCGAAUACCGAAGAGUGAUACUCAGGAGACACACGGCGGGUGCUAACGUCCGUCGUGGAGAGGGAAACAACCCAGACCGCCAGCUAAGGUCCCAAAGUUUAUAUUAAGUGGGAAACGAAGUGGGAAGGCUUAGACAGCUAGGAUGUUGGCUUAGAAGCAGCCACCAUUUAAAGAAAGCGUAAUAGCUCACUAGUCGAGUCGGCCUGCGCGGAAGAUGUAACGGGGCUCAAAUAUAGCACCGAAGCUGCGGCAUCAGGAUUUAUCCUGUUGGGUAGGGGAGCGUUGUGUAAGCGGAAGAAGGUGAAUCGAGAGGUUUGCUGGACGUAUCACAAGUGCGAAUGCUGACAUAAGUAACGAUAAAACGGGUGAAAAACCCGUUCGCCGGAAGACCAAGGUUUCCUGUCCAACGUUAAUCGGGGCAGGGUGAGUCGGCCCCUAAGGCGAGGCUGAAAAGCGUAGUCGAUGGGAAACGGGUUAAUAUUCCCGUACUUGGUAAAGCUGCGAUGUGGGGACGGAGCAGGUUAGGCAAGCAAGGUGUUGGAAAUCCUUGUUUAAGGUCGUAGGUGGGAAGUUUAGGCAAAUCCGGACAUCCUUAACACCGAGAGCUGAUGACGAUUGUCUACGGACAAGAAGUUGCCGAUACCACACUUCCAGGAAAAGCCACUAAGCUUCAGGCUUUACUAAACCGUACUGAAAACCGACACAGGUGGUCAGGUAGAGAAUACUCAGGCGCUUGAGAGAACUCGGGUGAAGGAACUAGGCAAAAUAGCACCGUAACUUCGGGAGAAGGUGCGCCGGCGUAGAUUGUAGUGAUUUACUCACGAAGGUUGAACCGGUCGAAGUGACCCGCUGGCUGCAACUGUUUAUUAAAAACACAGCACUCUGCAAACACGAAAGUGGACGUAUAGGGUGUGAUGCCUGCCCGGUGCUGGAAGGUUAAUUGAUGGUGUAAUCGCAAGAGAAGCACCUGAUCGAAGCCCCAGUAAACGGCGGCCGUAACUAUAACGGUCCUAAGGUAGCGAAAUUCCUUGUCGGGUAAGUUCCGACCUGCACGAAUGGCAUAAUGAUGGCCAGGCUGUCUCCACCCGAGACUCAGUGAAAUUGAAAUCGCCGUGAAGAUGCGGUGUACCCGCGGCUAGACGGAAAGACCCCGUGAACCUUUACUAUAGCUUGACACUGAACCUUGAAUUUUGAUGUGUAGGAUAGGUGGGAGACGUUGAAGCGGUAACGCCAGUUAUCGUGGAGUCGGCCUUGAAAUACCACCCUUUAACGUUUGAUGUUCUAACGAAGAAUCCGAAACGGGUUCUCGGACAGUGUCUGGUGGGUAGUUUGACUGGGGCGGUCUCCUCCCAAAGCGUAACGGAGGAGCACGAAGGUUUGCUAAUGACGGUCGGACAUCGUCAGGUUAGUGCAAUGGUAUAAGCAAGCUUAACUGCGAGACGGACAAGUCGAGCAGGUACGAAAGUAGGUCAUAGUGAUCCGGUGGUUCUGCAUGGAAGGGCCAUCGCUCAACGGAUAAAAGGUACUCCGGGGAUAACAGGCUGAUACCGCCCAAGAGUUCAUAUCGACGGCGGUGUUUGGCACCUCGAUGUCGGCUCAUCACAUCCUGGGGCUGAAGUAGGUCCCAAGGGUAUGGCUGUUCGCCAUUUAAAGUGGUACGCGAGCUGGGUUUAGAACGUCGUGAGACAGUUCGGUCCCUAUCUGCCGUGGGCGUUGGAGAAUUGAGAGGGGCUGCUCCUAGUACGAGAGGACCGGAGUGGACGCACCACUGGUGUACGGGUUGUGUCGCCAGACGCAUUGCCCGGUAGCUAAGUGCGGAAGAGAUAAGUGCUGAAAGCAUCUAAGCACGAAACUUGCCUCGAGAUGAGUUCUCCCAGUCUUUAAGACUGUAAGGGUUGUUUAAGACUAAGACGUAGAUAGGCACCAUGUGUAAGUGUUGCGAGACAUUGAGCUAAGGUGUACUAAUUGCCCGAGAGGCUUAACUAU
rnacentral:rRNA from 1 species